UAAGUCAUGCAUCAGCUGACACUGAAAAAGCUGUCAGCCAACAGAAUACAUUUUGGUAAGCUCGCAGCAUCUUUUCCUGGAAGAUCUGCAUGGGCUUUUCCCUGCUACUGUAUCAACUGUGGAUCUACUAGUCAGAAAAGCGUUGAGGACUGAAAGCAGCAAGUCUCUGGCUUCCAUCAAACCAAAGGCAAUUUCAUCCCCUCCACUCAAAUGAAAAGUAGUGCAGACAAGAACAGUAAUAUUGCCUUUUGAAAACUGGAGCGCAACUAAGCGAAGACAAAGUGAUACACUGAAAUACUGAUGGAUCUGGCUUGCCCUCCACUGGAAGAAGAAAUUACAUGUUUAUGUCAGAAUUUCUAGUAUUCAGUAGAACCUCCUCAAAGAACAAAGCCCUUUUAAACUUCAGAAAGAAUUAACAGAAAAGACUCCACAUAAUCUUUACCUUGAACUAUUAAUACAUUCAAGCCCUACCAACUGCAUUGUCUUCAUUAGAAUUUGACUCUGGGUGUUACCCUGCCAGCUUACUCAGGACAAGAAUACCUCCUUUUCACCACGAAAAUACAGAGCUUCAGUUUCAUUUAUUGCUGCAACAAGAGGACCUGGUUUCCAAGUUGUAGGGUACUUCACAGCUCUUUGUGCUGGCCUAUGGAACAGCACUGAAGACUGAACUUCAAAGGCAUUAUAACGCUAUACAAGCAAUACUAGCUAAGAUUUUCAAAACGCUGAUCAUUUGAGGUGCUUUGAAGUUUUAAAGUUUUUGAUUUGUACUGCCUAAAUGACUUCCUUUUCCAGAAGUGGAAAUAGCAAAGCAUUUCUCCUCUGGAAAAAAAGUUCAUUCUGGAAAAUUGCUAGAUGUUUGAGUUUUGUUUGUUUGUUUUAAGUUCCAAAUGUUUCACCUCUUGGGUCCGACACAGGGGCAAAAGAGAAAGUAACUUCAGAGAAAAAUGUUCAAAAUGAUCAGGUGGUUGAAAGAGUUGCUUAAGAAUUAGGAUACCAACGAUCUGUGGUUUAGUUGUUUACUAAAGAAAUAUCAAGGCAUUUGUAUGGAGUAUCUGAAGGUUGCUGCUUACAUAGACAGAAGUAAUAAUGUGAAAGCAAGAUGAAGCAUUAUCAGCUGGCUGUAACAGACUGCCUGACAGUAAGACACAGUGAAUGAGAUGAAAAGGCCUUCUUUGUGAUUCAGUAAAAACUAGUCUUUUAAAAGUAGCUCAAAAGAAUGUUGAAAAUCAAAAUACAGAGGAAGACUUCCCUACAUUUUUGCAGGAUGACAGAGAUGGAAAAGUUUAUUCUUGGCUACACCACAGAGAAGUAAAUUCUACAGUAGUUCUUCAGAUUGAAUGUGUACCAUAGCUGUUAAGCAGCAGCAAAUUCUAUGCUAGUUUAUAAAAUACUCAGAUUAAAUGCAUAGCUGAAUCUCUAAACAUGGCUAUUAAACAAAGAAUUGUAGGUUAAUUUCACAUAUUAAAAGUCACUGAACAAGUUGUUAUUAGCACUAGGAGAACGUAUUCAAGCAGAAUAAUGCAAUCACAAAUUCCACAUAAGUUAAUUUCUGGUCACCUCACUCCAAUACUUCUAAAAACAAAAUAAAUUAAAUAUGUUCCACAAUUAAUAAAAUAGCAGUGCUUAUUCACCAAGCAGCAUGUGUAUCUGUGUUGUCCACAUAAACAAGGGCAAAUGGCAAACAGGAAAGCAACUCAGGAGAGAUAUAAUUGGCAUCCCACUGAGAUCCUGGCUUCUCUGAUUCAGAACCUCUAAAAAAUUUUUUCUUCCAUAUAAAUAUUUCAAGGGAGACAGGAUCAAAGCCCCUUCCAUUUCACAGGUAUCUCAGAGCUUUCAGUCUAAUUAAAUAUAAAAAUAGUUAGAAAUGAUACUCUGAAAUGACAGUAGAAUAACUCUUCCUUAGCAAAGGGCUAAGGGUAGAAACUAUCUAAUCCAAUUAGAAGCACCAGGUGAUACCUGGACAUGUGAUUGGCAAGCUCUACAGAUUCAAAUCCAACAUCACAAACAUCCAGCAGAGACAAAUUAAGGCACAAGACAGGGAAAUGUGGAUUUUAAGAGUCUCAGAUAUUGAAAUAAGAACUCAGAAGGAAAACAUUCAAAAUCUCCAUGUUUUGUUCUCUCUCACACUGACCCCAGAGCCUGAUCUAGAAACUUGGUGAAAACAAAUUCUUGAAAGAUUCCAGUUCUUCUUGCACAGGAAACAAAACAGGAAAGGAUGUGGAAUAUUGCCUUGACACAGAGUCCCACGUGCCCAUGGCCUGAACUAUGCUUUUAUCUGUGUUUUGUGCUCUUUGGAUCAUGAGGAACUCGCAUAUUCUGCAUGUAGGUCAUUCUCAGACACAGCCUGCCUCCUUCUGCAUUAUUCUGUCUGCCUGCUUAGCCAGUAACUUCACUCCCAAAGCAGAGCUCUAGCAUAAAAUAGCUUUCAGAAAGUUAACUGGGAAUCAAUAACACAACUGGAUGGAUACACAGGCUUCCCGCCUUUGCAUGUAUGCAUUUUAUUCAUGCAAUUUACCAAACAGUUAAAGCAGCAAGUUCCCUGCAGAAAUGUUGGAACAAUUUGUUCCAACUAAGAAUUUCAACUAAGAAUUAUCAGAAUAAUACCAAAGAUUGUUUUUUUAUUUGAAAAACUGACUUUACCUUCAUCCACAGCAAAGCAGAUGGUCAAACUGAUACAAAGACCAAACUCUGUCAUUCUUCGAAAAGGUGGUCAGGAUAGCAUGUGCCUGAGCUUUCCAUGCAUUUCUUGCCUUGCUAGCAACAGUUGUAGAACAAUAUAUUCUUUUAUAACUCUUAUGCUUUUAUAGAAUGCUGUAAAGUGUUCCUUGCUUUGCGACAGUCAGAGACAAGUGGAACAACUCUACAGACAUUUUUAUACUAAAUGUCCAUGCCACGACUGUCUGAAAAAUUGCAGCACAGUGUGCCUGUCGAAUUACAAGAACUUACCUACCUUUUAUAUUUGCCCUUUAUUUUCAAAUAACACAACAAAAACUUGCACUUGCAUUACAUCUGUAGAAUAGACUGAUCUGGGUUUUCUUUACACUGGAAUAAUUGCAUUCAUUGCUUAUAAGGAAAGCGUGCUUUGAUUUCUUCAGCUCACAAUGACAUUCACAUGGAACUGAUAACAAUUCAUUAAAAUUCUAAACUAAAUUAAUAUUUAGUCCAUUUGUUACCAGAAGGGUUAAUGAAGGUUUUAAACUCCCAGUGGAAGGGUAAACUUAACUACAGGCUUUCAUGUCUCAUGUCCUAUCACAAUUAGCAUUAUUUGCAUCAUUUACUUAUAUGCAUUGGUUGUAUCUAAUUAAAAAUAAUAAUUACACAUUGAUUUUGAAAAUUUAAGUCAGUGAGCACAGAGGUAGCAUACAGCAGCAGAGAUUUUAUGGGUGUUGGAGGAGGCAAUAAAAGUUAUAAAGUAGUAUGACAAAAUAUAACAUCUAGAGAAACAGGAUGAGCUCCCUGCUAAGCAUCUCUAAGUGGAACAAUAUUUGAAAUUAAUUCUGCUGUAAAUAAGCACCAUUACAUUCCUAAUUGUCAGGUACACUGCUGCAGCACUGUCCCUUUGCAUACAAGGGAUUUAUUUUAUGGUAUCUCCAUGCAGGAAUUGAAAUGCUAUAUAACUUCAUAAUAGCUCACACUUCUAAAAUCAAUUUUUCAGAGAGACCCAAAUCCCUUUAUUUAUGUAUAUGUUUGGAUCUUCUCUUAACGGUGAGGUAUGGCCGGCAGUAGGGCAAAAUGCUUUCAACCAACAGUCAGUGUUCUCAAGCAAUAGCACUCUAAGAUUGGUGAUGCAUAACAUCUCUAAAUAAAUAGUAAUUGACUUGGAGGAAGACAACUGUAAAAAUACAUACACCAAGGUUAGCCUUCAUGUUCAGAACUCACUUUUGUUAUGGAACUGA